rnacentral:rRNA from 1 species
CCUACGGGUGACAGCAGUGGGGGAUAUUGCACAAUGGGGGAAACCCUGAUGCAGCGACGCCGCGUGGGCGAAGAAGUAUUUCGGUAUGUAAAGCCCUAUCAGCAGGGAAGAAGAAAUGACGAUACCUGAGUAAGAAGCACCUUCUAAAUACGUGCCAGCAGCCGCGGUAAUACGUAGGGUGAAAGCGUUAUCCGGAUUUACUGGGUGUAAAGGUAGCGCAGGCGGAACGGCAAGCCGGAUGUGAAAGCCCGCGGCCCAACCGCGGGACUGCAGUGGGAACUACCGGGCUGGAGUGCAGGAGAGGUAGGCGGAAUUCCUAGUGUAGCGGUGAAAUGCGUAGAUAUUAGGAGGAACACCAGUGGCGAAGGCGGCUUACUGGACGGUGACUGACGUUGAGGCUCGAAAGCGUGGGGAGCAAACAGGAUUAGAUACCCCUGUAGUC